GGUACAGAGUCAAUGUGGAGGCUAUAUACAGGGGGUACCGGUACAGAGUCAAUGUGGAGGCUAUAUACAGGGGGUACCGGUACAGAGUCAACGUGGAGGCUAUAUACAGGGGGUACCGGUACAGAGUCAAUGUGGAGGCUAUAUACAGGGGGUACCGGUACAGAGUCAAUGUGGAGGCUAUAUACAGGGGAUACCGGUACAGAGUCAAUGUGGAGGCUAUAUACAGGGGGUACCGGUACAGAGUCAAUGUGGAGGCUAUAUACAGGGGGU
rnacentral:lncRNA from 1 species